rnacentral:rRNA from 1 species
CUAAGCAUGAAGCCCCCCUCAAGAUGAGAUUUCCCAACUUCGGUUAUAAGAUCCCUCAAAGAUGAUGAGGUUAAUAGGUUCGAGGUGGAAGCAUGGUGACAUGUGGAGCUGACGAAUACUAAUCGAUCGAAGACUUAAUCAA